CUGGGCUUGCGCCGCUAGUGCCUGCUCCCGCGUUCCGGGAGGAGGCUAAGGAGGCGGUGGCUUAGGGCACUCCCUUCCUGGGCCACAGUGUGCCACCGGGGGCGCUGCCGCCGCCUGGUCUCUCAGUGCUGCCAGGAAAACAGCUGGGGCUGAGAGGGAGAGUCAUUUCGCAAACCUGCUUCUGGGAACAAAGCAUAAAGUACAAGCUGGGAGGCGUGGCAUUCAGAUGAGAUCUUGCUGUGUUGCCCAUGCUCACCUGGACUCUGGUCUACGUCACUCAGCCUCCCAAGCAGCUGGAAUUGCAGAAUUGCACCACCAACCACAGCUGGCUAAAUCAAGGAUAUUAUUGCUGGGGAUCAAGCUUAGAGCCCCAGACUAACUAAGCAAGCACGCUGUCACUGAGUAUAUCUGUUUUGUUCCUUAUGCGGAACCUCAACCUUCUAGAAAAAGAAGAGCAGGAGA